rnacentral:rRNA from 1 species
GAUGAACGCUGGCGGCGUGCUUAACACAUGCAAGUCGAACGAAGCACUUUAUUUGAUUUCCUUCGGGACUGAUUAUUUUGUGACUGAGUGGCGGACGGGUGAGUAACGCGUGGGUAACCUGCCUUGUACAGGGGGAUAACAGUUGGAAACGGCUGCUAAUACCGCAUAAGCGCACAGCAUCGCAUGAUGCAGUGUGAAAAACUCCGGUGGUAUAAGAUGGACCCGCGUUGGAUUAGCUAGUUGGUGAGGUAACGGCCCACCAAGGCGACGAUCCAUAGCCGACCUGAGAGGGUGACCGGCCACAUUGGGACUGAGACACGGCCCAAACUCCUACGGGAGGCAGCAGUGGGGAAUAUUGCACAAUGGGCGAAAGCCUGAUGCGGCGACGCCGCGUGAGCGAAGAAGUAUUUCGGUAUGUAAAGCUCUAUCAGCAGGGAAGAUAAUGACGGUACCUGACUAAGAAGCACCGGCUAAAUACGUG